UCCGGGGGAAGCUCACCGCCGAGGCCACGCACGGGGUGUGCGUCACCCACAGCCUCCGCCUCGGGGAAGGUCUGAGGGAAGGGCCGCCCGCGGCUCCAGCAGAGCCCCGCCCGCGAGUGGGGCGGGUGAGCCACCAGCAAGGGGGGGCGCCGCGCUAUAUGACUUUAUAGUGGGCCGGUCCAUGGGCAGGAGAAGCCGAGCAGGUUCCGCGUGGAGCUCCCGCUCCCCCGGGGCCCCGGCGGAUGCUCGUGGCCCCGCGGUGCUUUGAGACAGACUCACGGCCGGCGAUUGAGUCCAAUGGGUGAGGUGGGGCACGGCCCUACAACCCAAUUCAGACUACUCUCCCCCGGA
rnacentral:RNase_P_RNA from 1 species